AUAGCCGCGGUAUUCUGACCGUGCUAAGGUAGCAAAAUAAUUUGCCUUUUUAUUGAAGGCGAGAAUGAAAGAGUUGUCAAUGCUUUGGCUUUUCUUACUUAGCUCUAAAAAUUAAUUUUCAUGUCAAAAAGCAUGACUUUUUAGAAAGACGAGAAGACCCUAUAAAGCUUUGUAUUAAGUAAAUUACCUGCAUUAAUUAGGCUUUAUUUUGUUUUAAUUCUUAAUUGGGCUGGGGCGGCAUCUAAACCUCUAAAGAAAAUGAAACAUAUUUUAUGGUUUAAAAGAUCUUGAUUUUCAAAAAUUAGAAUAAGCUACUUUAGGGAUAACAGCAUAAUUUUUUCAUAAAGACCCUAUAGAAGGAAAAGAAUUGUGACCUCGAUGUUGAAUUGAGGGGCCUGCUUUAAGCAAAAAUAAAGACAGGGAGUCUGUUCGACUUUUGAUCCCUCA
rnacentral:rRNA from 1 species